UACAGAGGUUUCAAGCGUUGUUCGGAUUCAUUGGGCGUAAAGGGUGUGUAGGUGGCGCGCUAAGUCGGGUGUGAAAUUUCGGAGCUUAACUCCGAAACUGCAUUCGAUACUGGCGUGCUUGAGGACUGGAGAGGAGACUGGAAUUCAUGGUGUAGCAGUGAAAUGCGUAGAGAUCAUGAGGAAGACCAGUGGCGAAGGCGGGUCUCUGGACAGUUCCUGACGCUGAGGCACGAAGGUCAGGGGAGCAAACGGG
rnacentral:rRNA from 1 species